rnacentral:lncRNA from 1 species
CACCGGGAUUGUCACCGUCACCGCUGUCACUGUCACUUGGGCUGUCACUGUCACCGGGAUUGUCACCACUGCUAAGUUUGUCACCGUUACUGGGAUUGUCACUGUCACCGUCACUGGGAUUGUCACCAUUGCUGGGUUUGUCACCAUUACUGGUGUCACCGUCACUGGGGCUGUCACCAUCACUGGGAUUGUCACUGUCACCGGGAUUGUCACCAUUACUGGGUUUGUCACCGUUCCCGCCGUCCCCGUCCCCGUCACCAGGAUUAUCACCGCUCCCAUUGUUAAGUUCACCAGGAUCGUCACCGUCACCGGGAUUGUCACUUUCACCACUGUCACCGCUAUCACCAUCACUGCUGUCACCGUUUCUGGGAUUGCUGUCACCAAUUUUGCGUCACCAUUACUGGGAUUGUCACCAUUACCACUGUCACCAUUACUGGGAUUGUCACCAUUAUUGUGUCGCCAUUACUGAGAUUGUCACCAUUUCUGAGGUUGUCACCCUUAUUGUGUCACCAUUACUGGGACUGUCACCAUUUCUGCGCUUGUCACCAUUACUGGGAUUGUCACCGUUAUCACCUUCACCAUUACCGGGAUUGUCACCAUUUCUGAGGUUGUCACCAUUAUUGCGUCACCAUCACUAAGACUGUCACCAUUACUGGGAUUGUCACCAUUACUGGGACUGUCACCGUUAUUGUGUCACCAUUACUGAGACUGUCACCAUUACCACUGUCACCGUCACUGGGAUUGUCACCAUUACUGGGACUGUCACCAUUAUCACCUUCACCGUCACUGGGAUUGUCACCAUUAUUGUGCCACCGUUACUGGGAUUGUCACCAUUACUGAGACUCUCACCAUUAUCACCUUCACCGUUACUGGGAUUGUCACCAUUAUUGUGUCACCAUUACUGGGACUGUCACCAUUACUGGGACUGUCACCAUUACUGGGACUGUCACCAUUAUUGCCUUCACCAUUACUGGGAUUGUCACCAUUAUUGUGUCACCGUUACUGGGAUUGUCACCAUUACUGGGACUCUCACCAUUAUCACCUUCACCGUCACUGGGAUUGUCACCAUUAUUGUGUCACCAUUACUGGGACUGUCACCGUUACCACCAUCACCGUUUCUGGGAUUGUCACCAUUAUUGUGUCACCAUUAGUGAGGCUCUCACCGUUACCACUGUCACCAUUACUGGGACUGUCACCAUUAUCACCAUCACCAUUAGUGGGAUUGUCACCAUUACUGGGACCAUCCCCAUCCCCGUGCAGAGCAGCAGGAGAGGUGUGGUGAGUGUGAGUGUGGGGGUCACGUUGGUGGUGGGUGUGCAACAGGUGUGAGCACGGCGUCGUGCAACACGGGGGGGGUGGUGGGGCAUGGGUGCAAGGCAGGGGUGCGCACAUGGUUGCUCACGUGUAGGUGCAAUGCACACUCUUGUGGACAUGCCUUGCACACACAAUGCACAC